rnacentral:rRNA from 1 species
UACGUAGGGAGUGAGCGUUGUCCGGAAUUACUGGGCGUAAAGGGUGCGUAGGCGGCAUGGCAAGUCAGAUGUGAAAUCCCCGGGCUUAACUCGGGAGUUGCAUUUGAAACUGCCGUGCUUGAGUGCAGGAGAGGAAAGCGGAAUUCCUAGUGUAGCGGUGAAAUGCGUAGAGAUUAGGAAGAACACCAGUGGCGAAGGCGAUUCUCUGGACUGUAACUGACGCUGAGGCUCGAAAGCGUGGGGAGCAAACAGGAUUAGAUA